AGAUGAUAGAGGUGGUAGAGAUGAUGGAGGAUGUGGAGAUGAUGGAGGUGGUAGAGAUGAUGGAGGUGGUGGAGAUGGUAGAGAUGAUAGACGUGGUAGAGAUGAUGGAGGAGGUGGAGAUGAUGGAGGUGGUGGAGAUGAUGGAGGUGGUUGAGAUGAUGGAGGUGGUGGAGAUGAUGGAGGUGGUAGAGAUGGUGGAGGUGGUAGAGAUGACGGAGGUGGUAGAGAGGAUGGAGGUGGUGGAGAUGAUGGAGGGGGUGGAGAUGAUGGAGGUGGUUGAGAUAAUGGAGGUGGUAGAGAUGGUGGAGGUGGUAGAGAUGAUGGAGGUGGUAGAGAGGAUGGAGGUGGUAGAUGGAGGUGGUAGAGAUGGAGGUUGUAGAGAUGAUGGAUGUGGUGGAGAUGAUGGAGGUGGUGGAGAUGAUGGAGGUGGUAGAGAUGAUGGAGGUGGUAGAGAUGAUGGAGGUGGUAGAGAUGGUGGAGGU
ensembl:lncRNA